rnacentral:rRNA from 1 species
GACGAACGCUGGCGGCGUGCUUAACACAUGCAAGUCGAACGGAAAGGCCCUGCUUGCAGGGUACUCGAGUGGCGAACGGGUGAGUAACACGUGGGUGAUCUGCCCUGCACUUCGGGAUAAGCCUGGGAAACUGGGUCUAAUACCGGAUAUGACCUUCCAUGUAGUGUGGGGGGUGGAAAGAUUUAUCGGUGUGGGAUGAGCCCGCGGCCUAUCAGCGUGUUGGUGGGGUAAUGGCCUACCAAGGCGUCGACGGGUAGCCGGCCUGAGAGGGUGGACGGCCACAUUGGGACUGAGAUACGGCCCAGACUCCUACGGGAGGCAGCAGUGGGGAAUAUUGCACAAUGGGCGGAAGCCUUAUGCAGCGACGCCGCGUGGGGGAUGACGGCCUUCGGGUUGUAAACCUCUUUCGACAGGGACGAAGCUUCGGUGACGGUACCUGUAUAAGAAGCACCGGCUAACUACGUG